rnacentral:rRNA from 1 species
UACGUAGGGACCAAGCGUUGUCCGGAAUCAUUGGGCGUAAAGAGCGUGUAGGCGGCUUGUUAAGUCUUGCGUGAAAUCUCGGGGCUCAACCCCGAGCGGUCGUGAGAAACUGGCAGGCUAGAGUGCGGGAGAGGAGAGUGGAAUUCCUGGUGUAGCGGUGAAAUGCGCAGAUAUCAGGAAGAACACCCGUGGCGAAGGCGGCUCUCUGGGCCGAUACUGACGCUGAGGAGCGAAAGCGUGGGGAGCGAACAGG